rnacentral:lncRNA from 1 species
UCGUAAAUUAAAUAUUCUUAUACAUAGGAAAGCACUAAUAUUUAAAAAAAAAACUGACAAAAUGAAUUAUAUAUAAACAAUGUGGUUUUAGAAGAAAAUAAUAAAAUAAUUGAUUAACAUUAGCGUGUAUUAUCAGCCUUUAAUCUCUUUAGCAUUUUUCUUAAACUAUAUAUACACGUCAUAAAAUUAUGAACAUAGUAGCCAGUAAACAACACUAGGGUUUAAUACUGCUGAGUCAACAGCCACCUCCCCCUCCGCCUCCGCCUCCGCCACCGCCACCGCCUCCUCCAGCACCACCACUAUCGAAACCCCCACCACCGCCAAAACCACCUCCUCCGCCACCAUCAAAACCCCCACCACCGCCAAAACCUCCUCCUCCAGCAUCGUAGCCUCCAUCAAAACCACCUCCUCCAAAGUCGCCCCCACCACCACCGUCGUCACCGGUGCCUACGUCAAUACGAACAUCUCCGCCACCGAAUUUACCACCGUCUGCGCCACCAUCUCCGCCACCGAAUGUACCACCGUACGUUCCCUGCUGAUACCGACAGCAAAUCGUGAUUAUAACAAAAAAGAAAAAACAAGAAAAUGCUAUGAUUGCAGCUAGCCAAGGUUCCAUUAUAAUUAAAUUUCCUUUUUUUGUCCCAGUUCUCUAUAUCUCUAGCUAUGGCUCGCUUAUUGCUUUUAUAUAUAGCUGGCUACAUAUACAUACUGUUACGACUGAUGAAAAGUCAACUCCUUCAAAACUUCAACCUUUGACCUCAAUGCAACCUUACGCGUACUUUACGAGUUUCAAAUAAAAUGUGCGCUUAACGGUUCAAAAUAAAAAAUGGAGGAUAUAUACUGUUUCAUGGCGAAGGGAGCUGACUACUUCUGACAAUGAGACCAUACAUUGGUUUCAAGAAGUAUACAGCAUAGUCACUUCCAGUAUUGAUUAAGAUAACUUUAAUAGAAAGUUAAUUAAUAUUUAAGAAUUGAGGCUAUGAAAGGCAAAUUAAUUUUUCUUUUCCCCUCAAUUGAAAUAAAGAGAAAUGCUAAAAGUUUGCUAGUCAAAAUCUAUUGCUAAAAGCAUCAUUUACAAAUUUUAUACUGACAGAGUUUAAGCUAGGUAUGUCUAUUUUAAUUAAUACAAAUGGAUGAAUUAUUUAAUAAUUAUUAAAAAUUGAGGGAUCUGAAUGUCAGUCAUCUCAUAUGGUGGAUCAUAAGAGAGUAUAAAGUGAUGAGGUGAUGUGAAGGGAUCCCAUUACUUAUUUAUUAGAUGAUGAAUAUCAAUUUUUUUUUUCACUUGUUACGCGCAAGCGUUGCUUGAUUUUAAUAUGAUUUGCCAUUCAUGUAGCAAUGUGUUGAUUUUGCAAGACCUAUCAAUAAAUGAUAUUCAAUUCUGUCUCCUCUUAUGUGAGUCUAGAAGCCUAGACCACUUAUUUCACUCAAGAAAUUUUAGCAAACUAACUAGCACCCAUGGUACAAAUUAUAUAUUAUAACAACUAUUUAAUAUCUAUAGUAGAAGGAUCAUGGGGAUCAUUAAAAAAAAAAACCACACAUUAUUUACUUAAAAAUAGAAAACAAAAAGGUGAUGGAAGUCCUUAAACAGUCGUCAAUGCAAAAACAACAAGAUAGAUAGAAAUAAAAGGAUAAUCCAUUAUGUGAUUAAUUAACACCAAAGAAAAGGAAAUAAAUUAAGAAAAAAAACUACAAAAAUCAAUAAUGUUAAUAUGUUAUAACAAUAAAACUAGAUCAAUAGAAAUAUAGGACAAUUAUCAUGUAUGCGUUCAUGAACAAGAACAGCUUCAGGCUGCCUUCAGCCUCCGCCUGUGCCUCCAGCAUGAUCAUGAUAAAGCGGCCGCUGUUACUGAUUCAGUUGUGGACUGUAUUCAGCUCAAUAAACAUUCCACGAAACAACUUUUCUUUUUGCUACUUCCAUCUUUGUGAUCAGCAGUUAUUGUUGCAUAUUUAUUCGGCUUAUUCUUACGCCUAGACAUCCCAAAACAACCCAUAAUUAAGUUAAUUAACUAAGAUUUUGAUCUAGCGGCCAAAGAACGUAAUGAUAUACAAUGUUGAGGGUAUAAAUCGAUAUACAAACAUAUAUAAUUAUCUCCAAAUGAUAUAUAUAUAUAUAUAUAUAAUGUUGAGGGUAUAAAUCGAUAUACAAACAUAUAUAAUUAUCUCCAAAUGCUAUAUAUAUAUAUAUAUGGGUGGGUUCAAGAGACACAAUUUUAAACACAAUUUUAUAACCAUUAGAUUAGAAAUAAUUAAGGGUUAAGGUUAAUGCAGUAGGUCCCUUACAAUAAUAAAUAAUUGUCCAUUCCUCUCUCUGACUUAAUAUAUGUAUAUAUAUAUACAGUUUAGAUGAAAUUGAAAAUCUUUACUUUUGAUUUGAUAAUUAAACAGUUUGACUAAUCAAUUCAAAGAAGUCUUAGCAGAGACUCCUAUUCAACUAUCAUUUUGCGCAUGUUACUUUUACAAGUCAGAAUUUAUAAGGUUCCUGAACUAAGUCAACCAGUGCAACGAAGUUGGAAAAGUAAUCAUAUAAGCAAGUAUGAAGGCACCUUUUUCCUUCUGAGAAGUUGACUCUUGAAUCUGCAUUUUUUUUUUCCCUCAUGAAAGGGUUAAGUUGCGGCAGAAGAGGAAAGACUUAAGAUUGGCGGAAACGUUUGCGGCUUUUUUUUUUUUUGGUGGGAGCACUACUAUUUCAUUAGCAGCAAGACAACUUGAAGAAAGAUAAAUAGAUAUUUUCAUGCUGUAGUAAUAGUAAUACUAUAGCAUAUAAAACGAUAAUAUUGUUCAUAUUACAGUAUAACAGUUUCUGUUUUCCUAUUGUCUUGUUGCUAUUCAAAUAGUUUUUUUAUUUUUUUAACCAAUGAUGCUAAAGAUCCAAUGUGCUUUACAUUCUAAUCAAUGCGAAUGAGUGACACAUUUAAUUAUCAAUUUAUUGGAUGAGUGAUAGAUAGUCAUUGUCUUCACAUGUAGUCAAAGAAAUUUUUAUUGUAGAGAUUUACAUGAUGAAUGAAAGCUCUACUCCUUGUCAUGAUAGAUUUUAAAAUAUAUUUGAGGUAUUAUGUCAGUUAUACAACAAGUAAAUAAUAUCAUGACAUGUGUAUUUAAUUUGAAAAACCACCGUACAAGUGAUAAUUGUAUUAAAUUCAACUAUACAUGUCAUUCAUGCAUCAAUUGAUUGUAAUACGUAUGAUGUAUUCUAUAAUUUUUCCCUUGUGAUAUUUGUAUUUUACAUAGCUCUGACGACGAAAAUUCUAAUAAUAUAAAAUUUUAAGGUUAAACAAUACCGAAAUAAAGCGGUCAAAGGUGGCCAUAGUAGUCAGUGAUGCUCGAUGGUGGCCACAAGUGAAUAAUUUGUAAUUUUUUUCAAAUAAAUUUAAUAUAAAUGCUAAUAUAAUAUUACUAACUAUUAUAUAAGAUACUACAAUAUUUGUUUAAGUCUAUAUUACACCAAAUAAUAUUGUGAUAUAAGUUGAUGCCAAUGCAAUGCAAUGCAGUUGAUCUGGUCCUUGUAUCGAAUGAAUUAUUGAGGCUUCAUGUUGACUUGAAACUGAUCUGUCACCAUUGAAAUUGAUCUGGUCCUCCGGAAAACAGAAGACACGUACUGGAAUUGCGUUGAAUCUUACACAACGAGUAAUGAUUUGUCUCUUGACCCUGACAUUAAAAAUCAUGUGGCGGAUAUAUUUCAUUUUUAUCAUUAUCUAAUAUUAAUUAUUCAUUUGCUGAUUUUUUUUCUGAUCUUUACAGUGACUAUGAGAGAAGUAAAAGAAAAAAAAAAUCAUUUAAUCAAGAAAGGUAACGGAGUGUACUCCAUUGGACGUCAAUAAGAGAGAUAAAUGAUAAUAUUAGUGUAUAAACAAAAUUAACGAACGGAAUUAUUGGAAUCCGAAGGCUAUGAAUUUCAAUUAAAGAAAUAAUUUUUCAUUUUUUAUUAUUUGUUUAUAUAAAAUUCGUAAUCCUGCUUUUCCCACACAUGAUAUACAUAUCUUCUUCUAGAUAAAAUCUUUAAAAAAACAAUAUUUGAUCUGCAUGCAUGUCCGAAAAUUACAAAUGUUAAAUUGAUGAAAAAAAUUUAAAAAAAAAGAUUAUUAUUCUUUCACUAUGAUAAGUAUUGCGAAAUAACAAAUUACUACAUGAAUUUUAGAUUCGAUCUAUUGCAUUUAUAACAAUAAUGAACGGCUAUAUAUAUAUAUAUAAUAACUAUCAAUUUCAACUUUUCAAUAAUUGAGCACAAAAAUCAAAUCAACACUUAAAAACUAUGACAAUAAAGUAAAAAAUUAUUCUUUAAUGGUUUGUGGAUAUUUUUUAUUUUGAAUUAUCUUUUUUAAUGAUAAAGGAAUGGGUAAAUUUUAAAUUGAUUUUUUAACCUCUUACACUCAAUAUUCAAUCUUGAGUGACCAAUUAAAUAAAAUUAUCUGAAAAUCACUCAAUCAAACUCUUAGGGAAACAUUUUGUAGAAAUUAAUUUUGCAAGAAUGAUAUAUGUAUAAGAAUUGGGAAAAAGAAAAAAUUAAAGUGCAAAGAUCACAAAAUUAAUUAAAAAGAAAUUAUGUGGCUUUUAUUUAGAAGUUUUUGUCUUUAGUGAUUUUUUUUCCCCAUUUUGCACAUGUUGUGGGUGCCGAUUUCCUAACAAUAAUUACAUCGUGCAACGUGUACAUUGUUUGUGAAAAACGAUAUGCACCACCAAUGGACCCACCUCAACUCUAACUUUUUGGAGCAAAUUUGUCAUUUUUUUAGAAUUUAAGGAAAUUUUGUCAUUAGUCUAACCUUUAUUAACUCCUGCUAGGGUUAGGGGGGUUGGAGUUGGCUCUCCUCUCUCUUGAGGUAUAUAUCUUCAAGGAUAAGACAAACACAAAAAUGACAAGGAUCUCCAAACUUAAAAAACAAAAUAUAUAAUAAUAGUCCUGACUCAUGAGUUUAAUAAUAUGAGGUAAAUAUUCCUUUAACUCCUAUAUUUGGUAAAAUCUCACAAGACACCCUCAUAUUUUAUUUUGGUCAUUUCUUUUUAUUCCCUCGGUAAUAUAUUUAAUUGGUAAAUACAAAUUAACAGAAUACUGGCAAUGGCAGAAAAGCCAUAAACUAUAUACAAAGAAUUCAAAUAAAAAAAAAUCGAAAACAAAUUCAGUCCACGAAUUUAUUGAUUAAUACCAAAGAAAUGAAAAGGCCCCUCGUAAAUUAAUCAAUAAUGAAAAUAAGAGAGACAGAAAAAAAAAUUAUAAAAAAAAAAGUGUAGAGAGAUCGUGCAUCAUGCACAUAGCCACAUAUGAUGAGUUCAAGCACGUCAACUGCCUCCGCCUCCGCCUCCACAGCCGCCACCUCCACCUCCGCCCCCACAGCCUCCACCUCCGCCCCCACAGCCGGCGCCUCCUCCACCAUGGUCGUGAUGAUUCGCAGCAGCAGCAUCAGCAAUAUCAGCACCGGACUUGACGCCCUCGCCGCAGCAGCUGAUUAAGCAUUCGAGGAAACUGUUUUGCUUUUUCUUGUUUGCAUUUUUAUUUGCCUUCUUCUUAGUCUUACCCAUAACUGGAGAAAUCUAAUUAAUAUUGAAGUCUUUUAUUUUCGUUUUAUCGAUAUUUUACAUAAUCUGCGUACGUGAUAUAUAUAUACACACACACACAAAAUAUCAUUCUCUUUAAUAGUAUUACUUUCUAAUUAAGGUCGUUGACUUGACUUACUAAUUCAUAAAAGUCCUAUUACGCGUCUUCUGACCGUGUUAUUGGUCUCAAUGUCCAGCUUCUAGGUUUUGGGAAGGCUCUUGGAUCAUUCGUGCCACGAUUAAUUCUAAGCCAAGAUAAGAGGAGCAUUGAAUUAAUAGAUACGUACAUUCAACUGGAUUAUUAGUCUAAGAAUUUAAGCGGUUUGUGUAUGAAAUGAUUAACAAAGACGGUGCCAAGUGCCAACCAACCUAGACCUUCAUAUCUAUAUGCAAAAGCACUUCUGCGGAGCAUGCAGGAAGGAAAUUUAAUUACAUUUUUUACUUUUGUUUUUGUGAGAGUGCCUGAGACCUCUCGGCUUACCUUUUUAUGUACAUAUUUGUCAAAAUAAGUGGCUACAGGAUCUAGACGCCAUAUUUAGAAGCAGCCAAUGUUGAAGGAAAUGGUGCCGCCAAGGAAGAAGAAGAAAGAAGAAGUUUGAAGAAUAAAAAUGGAGGCACACGAUUUUGACAAAGAAAAAAAAAAAUUAAACUAAUAGCUAAUUUUGGCUAUAAAUUAUUCACUACAAGAAAAAAGAGAUACGACAACAGUACUUUAGCGACGUGCGUGUAAUGCAUGUUGUAAAAUCUGACAUUUAGCAACAUUUGAAGAUCGCAUGUUGUUAAAAGUUGCAAAAAAUUGACCUUCAACAGCAUGCUUUAGGGUGCGUUGCGAAAGGCACUAUCGCUACAGU